UCCCAGCGGUCCGAGUCGCAUCCACAAUUAUUGGGUCUAAAACAUUCGUAGCUUGUUUGUUAAGUUCCUUGUGAAAUCUUAAAUCUUAAAUUUAAGGCGUGCAAGGAAUACUGGCAAACUCGAGACCGGAAGAAGUAAAGAGUAUAGUCAAGGUAGUGGUAAAAUACGUUAAUCUUGAUUAGACUAACAACAGCGAAGGCACUUUACUAGUACGGAUCUGACAGUGAGGAAUGAAGGCUAGGGUCGCGAAAGG
rnacentral:rRNA from 1 species